rnacentral:misc_RNA from 1 species
AACGCACCUUGCGCUCCUUGGUAUUCCGAGGAGCAUGCCUGUUUGAGUGUCAUGGUACUCUCAAUUCUUUACAUUUUCGAUGUGAAUGAAUUGGAUGUGGAGGUCUGCCGGUGUUUAUCAUCGGCUCCUCUUAAAUGUAUUAGCGCGAAUGUUUACCAAACGUUCCUCAGUGUGAUAAUUGUCUACGCUGUGGUAGUGAGGUUUCAUUAAGUUCGUGCUUCUAACCGUCCUUCAAUGGACAAUAACUUUGACAUCUGACCUCAAAUCAGGUAGGACUACCCGCUGAACUUAA